rnacentral:rRNA from 1 species
UACGUAGGGUGCAAGCGUUAAUCGGAAUUACUGGGCGUAAAGGGCGCGUAGGCGGCCACCGCAAGUCGACUGUGAAAUCUCCGGGCUUAACUCGGAAAGGUCAGCCGAUACUGCGGGGCUAGAGUGCAGAAGGGGCAACUGGAAUUCUCGGUGUAGCGGUGAAAUGCGCAGAUAUCAGGAGGAACACCUAUUGCGAAGGCAGCUCGCUGGGACGUUACUGACGCUGAGACGCGAAAGCGUGGGGAGCAAACAGG